GCGAAUUGCCAAGAUCUCGGUAGGUGGCAUGAUGUCUGUUUGGUAAGACAGGAAUCCCAGCAGCAGUGGUUUCUAGAAACAAUCAUGAAAAUUUCAAGAAUUAAAAUCAAGGUGCAUGUGAUUUUCUAUACUUCAUGAGAGGACAACCAUGAACUUGGGGACAGACCCAAGUUACCCGAGAGUGCAGCUCCAUCCCGUGUCCUCCUGGGGAUAGUCACAGCGGUCUGAAGGAGGUCAUAAGCACAGGCUCCAGCUUGAGACUGACCUUGAACUCUUGAUCCUUCUCCUCCACCUCGAAACUUUGGGGUUAUACAUAUAUACCCUAUGCCUGAUUUAGGAGUUUUUCUCUUGCAAGUUAAAAAAGAAGUCACAAGACUAGGAACUUCAUGAAGGUAUCAUAUCUUCAUAGGAUAUAUGAAGUUAUAUCAGGACUUUCAAGGCUUGGGAUUUAAUUCUCACUGCAAAAAACAAACACUGAAAAACAAAACAAAAAGACAAAAAUGGAAACAAAAGCAAAGAAAUGACUCCUUCAAACAAAAGAAAACAAAACCAAAUGAGCCAGAACACGGGACAUCUGUAGAUCCCCGCCGAGCACUCCUUUCUUGUCAAACACCGGUCCUCUCCUUCUCCAGAGACAACCAUGAUCGCUCACAUGCUAUUUUCAUCUGGAUAUCUUAUGUAUGUUCCUAAAUAUAUUACUUAUUAUCAUAGCAAACACUGUUCUGGGUAGAUAAUGCAGACAGCUAAAUUUAAAAAAAUGCAGCAAUAUUCUUUACAAAGGACAAAUCUUGGAUGGAAAAAUUAAUUAAGUCUGAGUGUGGUGGUACAUGCCUACAAUCCCAGGACUCAGAGAUCAGAGGCAAGGAGCUGGUGAGUUUGUGGCCAACCUGUACUACACAGUGUGAUGCUAUCUCACAAACAGAACAAGGAAAAAUUAGCAAGACAUACCAUUUCUCAAAAGACAAUGAAGGAGGAGGCACCUUUCUGUCACUCCUCAAGAGUUGUUUUUUCCCAUUGUCACUAUGGACCAGACCCUGGAUUAGGAACUGGGAGUCAAGCAAAAGGGGACAGAAAAAGGCCAUUCCUCUGAGUUUGCUUUCUAGUAGAAUGAAGGCAAUACUUUAGCGAGCGAACACAGUAACAGCCCCUUCCCACCAAGCAUCAAGUAAGGGUCCCCAGGGAACGCUGCAAUGAGUAGAUUCAGUUAAUGACCACAGUACAGCUGUUCCAAGAAAGGGCAGUGGCAAUCUAGACUAUAUGACCUGCAAAAAUUAAAUGCUAAAGUAAAGUAAUCCAACCAACAAAACAGGCUAUAGUUUGUAGAAUAAGAACCUAAAAUGGUCAAUAAAUAACUUGGAAAAGAAUUCAAUAUUCCUACCAUUGGAAAAAGGCAAAUUCAAAACUGAUAAAGAUUCCUCUUCACUCCAGUUAAAUGAGAAAGAACUCUUGUUCAGUGCUGAUGGGAAUGUAAGCUUGGGCCGCCAGAAUAGAAAUUCUGUGGAGGUUUCUCAAAACCUGAAAAUCAAAACUGCCAGAUGACCCUAGUAAACCUUCUAGGAAAUUUACCAGAAGGAUGCCGAGCCAAUGUACCACAGAGAUACUUGUAUAUCCGUGUUUCCAUUGCACUACUCACAACGUGCAAGAAUUGCGCUCCAAGAAACGCAGCCCAGCUAGGAAUCCAUCAGGCAAAGGGAAUGCGGUCCAUGUACACAAUGGAAUUUUUCAGCCACAAAGAAAAGUGAAAUCAUGCUGUUUGCAGAAAAAUGGAUGGAACUGGAGACCAUUGUGUUAAAUGGAACAAGCUGGAUCCAGAAAUACAAAUACGUGUUUUCUCUUACAUGGGUAAUUUAUAUUUAAAUUUCUAUACUUUUGCUUAGAUUAUGAGAGUAGGAAGGGGAAUGUGAGAGAGGAGGAAAGAUUGUAAUGGGAUGCAAGUGAUAUGAGCAGA